CUUCUCUAAUUCCCCCCGUAUCCAUUAUAUGUCCCCACCCGUCAAAGACCCAGCCAAAUUCCCUCCCUUCUAAUUCACCCGCGGCGGGACACCGCUAAAAGCCACAACCCACCCCGCAUUUUCUUCAUAGAUAGAUUCAUCUGGCUCUCUUCUUCCCCAGAUUGCAGCGACCGGCGAUGGUACUUUGGGGGAGGUCGCCCUGCGCCCAGGCCGUGCUCGGGCCUCGGAUCCAGCGCAACAACUUGCCCCGCGAGCACCCCCUCUUCUCCCAGAUUGCAGCGACCGGCGACGGCAGAUUGGAGCAGGCCGCCCCACCGGCCGAGAUGGGAUCCACCGCACCGACCCUACCUGUGAGAACCCGACCCUCUUGUCUCCCCAAUUGAAGCGACCAACGACGACUCUCUAGAUUGAAGGAGGCCACUGCAUCGCCGAUCUUGGAUCCACCGCAUCAACCUGACUCGAGCACCCGGCUCUCUUCUCUCCUACAAUGGGCGGUGUCUCUCAGUGAUUUACUCAUCCUGCCCUCCUCAUGUCGCCACCGCUUGAUGUUCAGUGAUUCGGGUUCAUGCAUACUACUCGGCAUCCUGCUCUUCUAUGUAAUUUAGGAUUUGCCACAACUUGCUAUGGUAAAAAGCCUGAACCUCUUGCCAAUUAACUUUUGAGAUCCUAUUGAUAGAUGUGUGUAUAACUGCACUAGUGAACAUGAUUUUGCAUUUGUUAUAGCCUGCUAUUGUAAAAAGGCCUGAACCUGAAUAUAUGCUACUGCAGUACAGUUAGCCGUUGUGCAAAAGUUCAGUUAGCUAUCAUAUGCAUGGCCUUAGCUGAGAGAUUUCUUUUGCAGCCAUGUGCUAGUAUGGCUACUCUCGCAUACAAAAGGAAACUAUAUGUUGACCAUCUGAUUGUUGAACCCUGCUGUAAUGACAAAAACUAGAUCCUCUUGAUCGUUGAAUGGUGUCAUAAUCGUAUGAACAUAAACACAUGAACUAAAGUAUGCAAGUACAAGCAGGAAGCAGCACAUCCUUGUAUCCUUGCAUCCUUGUAUCUACAUGUCCGAAUAAACUAGCUUCUGGAUGCAACUACUAUAUGUAUGCUAAAACCUGAAACUUAUGGUUCUACUGUCCCAUAAAUAGUACUUCAGUAGUGUUGAAGACUGAGCCUGCGCUUAAUUUUGACUUGCUACAGAGAUGUAUAGCCCUGCACUAGUGUACUUUUCUCUCCAAUACUAGAUAAAAGAGAACUAAACUUAAUCUUUUCCAUGCCUCUCCUAAUUGAUUAGCUACCCAUGAUGUUAAGCAUCUGAAGCCCACAAGCAUUUCAGUACGCCUAGAACUUGAUACAAGCAGAUACAUGGUAAACUUCAGUUUUUGACUAUAUUAUGACAUACUAAACUGGUUAAAUCAAUCUGCUCCUAAUCUUGGAUGAAUAUAGUAAAUUUUAUGGUUUUCUGAACUAUGCCAGCAGCUAUAGUAAUCAUAUUUUUUGAUGUUUUUAUUCUGAACAUUCUGAUCUUGUUUUCAUGGUUUGUUGUCUGCGUCUCCCUGACUGUGCCCCAGCUGCAUCAUGCAUGUUGAUUGCUUCACAUGUUAGAUCCUAAUGAAUGAAAUCUUCAUUUUCUAUUUAUAUAAUCUGACAUGAAUUGCUUGUUGGCAGUGCUGCCUGUUUACGUCUAUUUUACGCAAUCUAGUUCUUUUUGUCUACGACCAAUGCGAAGCCAACUUUUAACAGGUAAGUCAAUGUAAUCAGUUACGUUACAAGUACUACAUCCAUAUGCUUACCCAUAGUGCAAGAAAGAGUAAAUGCUUUUCAUUAAUUUCACUUUCACUAUUACUGAUAUAUAAUAUUAGUGCAUCAUGUGUUUGCAUCCUAACUUAUCUACUUUAUUAUAUUCAGAUGUAAGCUACAAAAAAGUACAUUUGCACAUAUAAAAUGGCUGCAUCUUUUAAGCUAGUAAAAUAAUGCCACCAAGCGAGAGCAUGUGAAGAGACGCAUAGUAAGCAACACGAAGAAUUGGAAGCUGUGAAGAAGAGCGGGCAAGAGAAGAAUGAAGCAUGGCAAAAGAAGCAACAUGAGAUGGAUAACCUCAUUGGUUUUCUCUUAAGGGCUCAAGCAAGUCAGCAAGCAACUCAACAGUCCUAGUCCAAACCAGAAGGUGCAUGAAGACCAUCCUUUUGUGAUGGAAGUAGUUGUUGAAUCAUACAUUGCAAUCAUCAUGACAACACAUGUUGUUUUUAGUUAUAUAAAUAUUGCUUUUCAACUUGACUAUUGUUGUGUCAAACUCGUGAGUUGGUGUUAUUUUGUACUGUCAUUUUUGUUGAGAGGACAAUUAGGCUGAGAGAUUGAAUAUAUAGUAUGAUUUGUCUUCCAUUUUAUUUUAUGAUGUGAUUU
rnacentral:rRNA from 1 species